CUCCCCUAGAAGUGAGAUCAGAAAAUUGAUAUCUGAAAAAAGUGCUCAACGCGAUAGAAAAGACCUAAAGUUGCUCAUAGUUGCAUUGGUCCUUGCACCACCCUGCCAGAUCACCAUACAGUGAAACUCACCGAGUAACAUCUGCUCACAGAAUGAUCAUUUCCCCCAAGGUCCUUUAUUGAUCAACAACUAGAUUGUCUCCAAUUUCCAACUGCCACAAACAAAGUAGGAAAUUUCUGUAGGAUGAAGAUCCUGAAGUGUGAUGGAGUUGACUAAGUGGUGGCAGAGUGCUCUCCAGAAUUGCUACCCCAAUCUACACUUCCAUCAUGGUACUCUGCAGUUCCUGUAUGAUUAUCAUAUACCUGCCACCCUUAGCAGUAUCCAGCUUUUCAAUUCUGACUUUACUGAGAGGAAUAAAGUAAUAUUUUAUAUUUUC
rnacentral:lncRNA from 10 species